AUGGAGCUGGAUGUUGCGUAUUUAGAUUCACACUGAGAGGGAGCCGUGAGCACAGUAGAGCUCCACUCUUUGAAGAGGUGAGACUUCCAAAGUAUUGAUCGAGUCACUCAACUGUAGUUGCUUUUCCAGCUGCAGGUACUUAUAAAGAUGGCAAGGUUCCAAACGAUGAUGGUGUUCGCCCUUCUCGUCCUGUCUGUCGUCACGAUUUCGGAAACCACAGCAAAUCCACUCGGGAGGCCUAACUUUACUAGACCUGAAUACUGUAAGUGGGUUCGUGUGGACUGUACCAGAAAUCCUGGACAUGAAUGCUGUAGGCCGAUACCAUUCGGAAAAUAGGGCACAAACACCGGAGGACGAACAGACAUUCCUUUAGAUCACCAGGAGCUGCCACUGAUGCGAGAGAAUGGAUGGAUUUCAAUCUAAGGACUUCUAAUUGUUGACUAACUGAUAACUGACAUACAUCGUUUCUUAAGGAAACACAAUAUUGGAAUUAACUUUCAUCUAUUUAGCGGUAAUAAUGUUUUUUAUCAUUUUAUUUUUUGCUCAUUUGGAAAAUAAAUAAUGGUUUGACGCAUAAA